GGGAAAUGGUUCCAAUCGUUUUGCCACCAUUCAUUUUCCCCAUAGAGGAUAUUAGAAACACUUAAAAUUAGGGCUGUGUUGCAUGUAUGCUUACCUUGUCAUGAUGUUUUUAUAACUGUGUAAAUCUCUAGGACAAGGGGACAUUUGAUCAAUAUAUUCAUCUGUAUUUACACCCCCCACACACAUCAAAUGCUAAUUAGCUGGUAAUGUGGUUAUCAUAAGGACUUACAAAUGCCAUGACGAGCUAGACAAGCCUGCUGAGGUGGUGACACACAUCUCUGCAUACCUGGCAGAUAUCUCCGCUUGGAUGUCUGCCCACCACCUCAAGCUCAACCUCGACAAGACGGCGCUGCUCUUCCUCCUGUGGAAGGCUUCCCACUCCAGGACCUCUCCAUCACUGUGUCCCCCUCCCAGAACGCAAAGAACAUUGGCGUGACCCUGGACAACACCCUGUGGUUCUCUGCAAACAUCCAUUCUCUGCAAACAUCAAAGCAGUGACUCACUCCAGCAUGUUCAUGCUCUACAACAUCCGUAGAGUAUGACCCUACCUCAAACAGGAAGUGGCACAUGUCCUAAUCCAGGCACUUGUCUUCUCUCAUCUGGACUACUGUAACUCGCUGUUGGUUGGGCUCUCCGCUUGUGCCAUCAAACCCCUGCAACUCAUAAAGAAUGCUACAGCCCACCUGGUGUUCAGUCUUCCCAACUUCUCCCACAUCACCCCACUCCUCUGCACACUCAACUGGCUUCCAGUUGAAGCUCGCAUCCACUACAAGACCAUGGUACUUGAAGCAGCAAUUGGAACUGCCCCUCCAAACCUUCAGGUUAUGCUUCCUCCUGAAGCUAGGACAGCAGAGUCCCUCCCCAUCUUCUGAAAACAUCUGAAACCUAACUUGUUCAAGAGUAUCUUGAAUAAUCCCAAAGAACCCCCUCUUAAACCCCUUCCUCACCCCGAUGCUGCAGCCCGGCCUCCUAGUGUUCAACCUUCCCAAGAUCGUACACUUUAAUGGCUUGCAGUCGAAGCUUGCAUCCACUACAAGACCAUGGUAAUUGCCUAUGGAGCAGCAAGAGGAACUGCCCCUCCCUACCUUCAGGCUAUGCUCAAACCCUACACUCCAACCGUAGCACUCUCUUCUGUCACCUCUGGUCUUUUUGCCCUCCCACACCUACGGAAGGACAGCUCCCGCUCAGCCCAGUAAAUUCUCUUCUCCAUCCUGGCACGCCAAUGUUGUAACCUGCUUCCUCCUGAAGCUAGGACAGCACUGCCCACAUUCCGAAAACAUCUGAAAUAAAUGUGAUCAAAAUGCCAUUGCGCUUUCUUUUACACUCUAUCAUGAUCCAGUUCCAACAUCUCAAAAUCAUACAACAAAUUAGGUCGUUUUUGUUAUGAUAAAAGGUGAAUGGAAGGCGUUUUCCACCCGGGGAUGUAGUGCUCGUCCACGAGAGCAUAAAUAUAGUGUGGCUCUGAUUUUAUCAAUGAAAAUGUGUAUAUGUUGCGUGAAACAGUUUGUAGUAUUUUCUUGCCAAACAAAUUUAUCAAUCUCCACAUGUAUACCAGAAUUUAGUAAGAAAUGUAUGCAAGGUUGAUAAAUGAGGAGCAUCAUAGUAGUGAUGCUGUGAGUCCCGGAAGCCCGUCUGCAGCCAUUGAAACUAAUGAGGGUCAUUUUCCUGUCUGGCGCAGGGGGCCACACACUCUCUCCUGGGGCUUUGAAAGUCGGGCACACUGCAGGGCAUGGUACACCAUUAAGGGCCGCUCCAAGGGGGUGACCAGAGGCCACUUAGGAAAUGAUGUGACAGGCAGUAUUCAGGGAGGGAGGAAGGUAGAGAGCUUCUUUGCUUUUGACUGAAUAGUGGUGACCUAUGUGGACAUUUGCUUAUACUCAUUCUCCCUAUGCAAUCCUUUUCAUUAGUUCAUUUUUUUUAGUUUAUUUGAAUUCUAUGCCAGUUUUCCCCAUUUAGAAUCACUCCGGACAAAUAAACUCUAUUCUAGAAGUGUCAUUAAUAGACCAUGAUGAUGGCUUUGAACUUGAUUCUGAGAAAGAGAAGGUAUCAAAAACACACCACUCCACCGCAUGCAUUAAUUAAACCAUAUUCAUCAAACCAGACCUGGUCAAAGAGAAUGAUGCUGAGUUUUUUUCCCUCUAAUUAGAUUUGCAAUUAUUGUAAGCUGUAAUAGUUCUUCAACAUCAGUCUGGACCGAGUGUGCUCUUGAACAUAAUCCUCCUUAAAUGAUAAGAUAAUGGAGCCAGAAAGAGGCCACCAUUUCUUAAGGAACCAGCAGAUAGAAUCCUCUACAGGGACCUUUUAGGGAGAAAGAUGGAGAUAGAUAUUAUUCUGAAAUCCGCUAAAUGUGUUUUAACAGUAGUUACUGUACCUCAGUCCUCAUAGUUUUGUUUAAAUUAAAUAUUCCAAAAUGUGUCUAUUAUUAUAGAGAGAUACACAAUGUAUCGCACUGAUUAAAAACCAAUAUAAUAUACAAGUGAAUGCUGUAUAUGUAAAGUUAAAUUAUAUAUUUAAUUUAGGGACAGAUUUAAAUUUGUUGGGGGGGUCAAGAAUAGUGGAGGGUUGGCAAACUUUUUUUCUUUGGGGAGGUCCCCCCCCCACACACACACACUUCUGCUCACAUUUUCUCUAUAAACAAUGGCUUGACUUAGUUUUGAUAUUACCCUAAUAAUGUUUUGAAAUGUUUGUGAAGGUUUGGUAUGGUGUGGCUAUUUUUGAGCUUUAGCUACUGCAGGCCAAUGAGAUGAAGGCAGUGCGCCCCGGGACUCCAACUUACUCUGACAGGCGAACUUGAGGUGAGGAAGUGAGUUUCAGGCCUACCACAGUUACUCCUAUAAUCUAACAAAAUAAUGCUCGUCUUUAUAAAGAAUAUUCUGAUUAAAAGCUAACGAAUUAGCCUCCUUUUGUACAUCCCAUAUCUGUAUAGUAGAUGUGUUCAGGGACACUAUUCCAUUUCUGUUAGUCACAUGUCUGUGUAACAUGUUCAGUUUAUGUCUGUUGUUGAAUCUUGUGUUCAUACAAAUAUUUACACAUGUUAAGUUUGAUGAAAAUAAACGCAGUUGACAGUG
ensembl:lncRNA